rnacentral:sRNA from 1 species
AUGGAAAUAGUUUUACAAGAUCUAAGUUUUGCUAUCUCAUAUAUUGACGAUAUUUUGAUAUUUUCUGAAACUUUAGAAGAACAUUUUGAUCACAUUCAACAAGUAUUUGACAGAUUGAGACAACAUAAUUUGAAAUUGAAAUUAAAGAAAUGUCAAUUUUUGCAGGAAGAAACUAAUUAUCUAGGUUUUAAAAUCAAUAUCGACGGUGUAAAACCGGACGAUGCCAAAGUUGAGGCAAUAAAAACAUUACCAAACCCUGUUACUGUUAAGGAGGUAAGAAGUUUUAUAGGGGCGUGUUCAUACUAUAGACGAUUUAUCCCUAAUUUUUCAAAGAUUUCUAUACCUUUAGUUGCUUUAACUAAAAAAUAUGCUAAAUUUCAAUGGGAUGAUGAAUGUCAAAGAGCUUUUGAUUUUUUGAAAGAUAGUUUAACUGUAACUCCUUUAUUAGCAUACCCAGAUUUGAAGAAACCUUAUGUUUUAUAUACUGACGCUUCUAAUGAUACCAUAGGUGCAUGUCUUACGCAACCAUGCGAAGAAGAAGAGACUCAUUUAUCAUGUUUAAGAAAAGAAAAACCUAUAUACUUUUUAUCUCAUAAAUUAUCAGAUACACAGUCUAGGUGGUCUACUAUUGAAAAAGAAGCCUUUAGCAUUCAUUAUGCAUUACAAAAAUUAGAUCAUUAUCUUCAUGGAGCUGAAUUUAUUAUCAGAACUGACCACAAGCCUUUAAAGUACUUAUUGCUUUCGCCACAAUGUAACAAAAAAUUACAACUUUGGGCUUUAGGUAUUGCAAGUUACAAUUGCAAGAUUGAAUGGCUAGCGGGAACUGAUAAUACUGAAACCUGGGAAAACCGAACCCUGAUAAAACCGAAUUUCAGUUUAACGAACAAUUUUUAAAGUCCCGAAAAAAUUUCCCUUUAAAUUAAGUUAAUCGAACCUGACAAACCGAACCUUCAACACCGAAUUCCGAACGCUUUUGAAGGCUAGUUAGAAAUUUGUCUUUAAAAAUUACCUGUCAAUCUAUCAAUAGCAAUCAAAACAAAAAAGCAUUUUUAAUUAUUUGCAAUUUAAUUUAACAAACACAGAAGACAGAGAAUCCCGAGGGUAUUUGAAAUUAACAAUGAGUUGUUAUUACAAACUAAUUAGUGUUUGUGUCCAUGUCAAAGUAAUUUUUUUUUGUGAAGAAAUGUUAAACUGGUCAGCUAUGGCGAUAAUGACAAGGAAGGAACUUUCAGAUCAAUUAAAUGCACGUUACUCAAAUAAUUACGACCAUUUUGUAGCUAAACUGUUUAAUUAAUAAUAGUUUUAAAGCUUUUCAAUUAAGAAGUCAUGCAACACAACAAGGUCAAUGGCUUUCGAUUGUUGGAUUCCCGUUAAAGGCCCUAUAUAUUUGAUACGAUGCUCCCAAAGACUUCCGUUAGCUAUUCAGAACGAUAAAGUCCGAGAAUAAACUGGACCCCUGCUUUUGUUUCACUCUUAUCGUUAGCGAAGUAUCAAUCAGCAGGUGACCAGUUUAGUCCGAGAACUCGUGUGUACAAUGACGUUCCGGUAUUCAACUAACCAUUCAACUACGGAAUCGUCAUUUGACAGCGACUGCGAACCUGAAUUAGACAGUGAAUUAUAGAUGAGAAAAUAAUUAUCAAAAGCAAAAUCUUUUUAUGUCGGACAUCUCACAACGACGAGCGUGAUUGACGGAGUGGCGUUUCAUUUACUACAAAAAUGAAGCAAAACGUUUAUCAUCAUCUACUUAUUUUUUACAUUACAUCUAAAUCAACACAAAAUAAAUUGUCAAUAAUCCUUGUCAAAGUGCUUAUUUUGUUUCGACUUCCGUUUACUCUAUAAUCCGAACACCUGUGUAAACGAACAAAGCAAAGUUGGGUGUUCGGUUGGAAGUUCCAACUAUUGCUGACUAUCUUUCAAGAAGGCCUCCGGGUCAAGAAGGCAAUCAAAAUCAAAGUGGAUCAAUUGAAGUAGAUAUAAGUGACAAGGCUUUUCAAAUCAAUACUUUGAAUUCAAAUGAGUUCAAUCCAAAAGAUUUUGCAAGUUGUGACUAUAAAGAAGAUGACCAACUUAGCGUCAAGGAAUGUACGAUUCCUGGUUAUGACAUGAAAAUUGAACAAUCUUUAGACAUAGAACUUUCGGAAAUUAUUAAUCAAAUAAACACAGGUAAGGCUUCAAGAAGUGUUGAUAAUAAACAUAUUUUUAUCAAUGAUAUACUUUAUUACAUUUCUCACCCUGAUGAUGAUUUAAAGUUAAGGCUUUAUGUUCCAUUACAAUUACGAAAUGAGGUAAUCAAAAGUUAUCAUGAUAAUCUAAGUCAUUUAGGAAUCGACAAAUGUCAUGAUUCAAUUAGGCAAAAAUAUUUUUGGCCAAAGUUAUAUAAGGAACUUAAUUCCUAUAUUAAUUCCUGUGUUAUCUGUCAAUCUCAAAGUGCAGGUAAAACAAAACCUUUAUUACAAAUAUCUGAUAUACCACCAUUUCCAUUUGCUAAGAUAGGGGUAGAUUUAUCUGGACCUUAUCCUACAUCAUUGUCAGGAAAUAAGUAUAUUGUCAGCUUUGUUUGUCAUUACAGUGGGUGGCCUUUGUCUUUUCCUGUUCCAAAUAAAACUUCGGAAAAUGUGGUUCAUUUAUUAAUUGAAGAAAUAAUCCCAAACUUUUCUGUGCCGUUAGUUAUAGUGUCAGACAAUGGCGGUGAAUUCACCUCUAAAAUAUUUGAAGAAACUUUAAAAGAAUUAAAUAUAAGUCACAUAACAACUUCUUUUUAUCAUCCACAGGGAAACGCGAAAGUAGAAAGAUUUCACAGGACGCUUCAUGACGUCAUGGCAAAGAAAUUGCAAAGUGAAUGCGUCUACUUGGGACGUAUGCUUAAAUCAAACAAUAGCAGCUAUUAGGUUUCAAAAAAAUGAAUCAACUAAAUUUUCUCCAUUUUUUCUUUUAUACAAUAGAGACCCAGUUCUUCCGAUUGAUAACCUGUUGAAACCUAGAAGAAAAUAUGUAGGUGAAGAUCCGCACAAGAUUUUGUUAGAACAACAACACAAAUCUUUCAUUUUAGUUCACAGAAAUUUGAAAAAGUCUAAAGAAAAACAAAAACAAAACGCAGAUAAAAAUAGACAAGAAAUUAAUUUAGAAAUUGGGGAUCCGGUAUAUUUCAAAAAUCACUUAAGAAAAAGUAAAUUAGACACUAAGUGGAAACCUUAUUACAGAAUUAUUGAAAAAACUUCUCCAGUAACAUUUGUCCUUAAAAACCAAUUAGAUGGGUCUGUCGCUAAGAAAGUCCAUUUAGAACACCUUAAAAAAGCUAAGAUUGAUGAAUGGGUUAUUCCAACCAAUCUAGAAGGUAGGCAAUUAAGGAAAACAAAUUAUGUUGUACCUCCCGAAGAUAGUGACGAAAGUGAUAGUGAACUUCCAGUCGCUAAUCCUCGAGAAAGACUCAUAAAUCGUUACCGACAAGAACGAGAAACAUCUUCCGACGAGGAUGAUAUUCCGCUCGCUGAACUUAAACAAAAAAUAGCAAAUAGAAACCGACGUGAAAACGAAAAAGACAAAUCUUCCGUCACUUCCGGUUCAAGCGAAAUGUCGGAUAAUAAUAGUUCUGAUGGGUAUAAUUCAGACCGCAGUCAAAAAAUGUCUGUUGAUGAAGUUAGAAUACCAAAGAAAAAUAAGCGAACAGUUAAAAAGUCUGAAAAGAAAGACGAAUUAAUUUUAAGUUUUCUCUCAAACGUUUCUUGUUAUCUUAAUAAAAUGAACGACUAA